rnacentral:rRNA from 1 species
CCUACGGGAGGCAGCAGUGGGGAAUAUUGGACAAUGGGGGCAACCCUGAUCCAGCCAUGCCGCGUGUGUGAAGAAGGCCCUCGGGUUGUAAAGCACUUUCAGUGAGGAAGAACGCCUGGUGGUUAAUACCCAUCAGGAAAGACAUCACUCACAGAAGAAGCACCGGCUAACUCCGUGCCAGCAGCCGCGGUAAUACGGAGGGUGCGAGCGUUAAUCGGAAUUACUGGGCGUAAAGCGCGCGUAGGUGGCUUGAUAAGCCGGUUGUGAAAGCCCCGGGCUCAACCUGGGAACGGCAUCCGGAACUGUCAAGCUAGAGUGCAGGAGAGGAAGGUAGAAUUCCCGGUGUAGCGGUGAAAUGCGUAGAGAUCGGGAGGAAUACCAGUGGCGAAGGCGGCCUUCUGGACUGAAACUGACACUGAGGUGCGAAAGCGUGGGUAGCGAACAGGAUUAGAUACCCGUGUAGUC